rnacentral:rRNA from 1 species
AUUGAACGCUGGCGGCAUGCCUUACACAUGCAAGUCGAACGGCAGCACGGGAGCAAUCCUGGUGGCGAGUGGCGAACGGGUGAGUAAUAUAUCGGAACGUGCCCAGUCGUGGGGAUAACGUAGCGAAAGCUACGCUAAUACCGCAUACGAUCUAUGGAUGAAAGCGGGGGAUCGCAAGACCUCGCGCGAUUGGAGCGGCCGAUAUCAGAUUAGGUAGUUGGUGAGGUAAAGGCUCACCAAGCCGACGAUCUGUAGCUGGUCUGAGAGGACGACCAGCCACACUGGGACUGAGACACGGCCCAGACUCCUACGGGAGGCAGCAGUGGGGAAUAUUGGACAAUGGGCGAAAGCCUGAUCCAGCAAUGCCGCGUGAGUGAUGAAGGCCUUAGGGUUGUAAAGCUCUUUUACCCGGGAUGAUAAUGACAGUACCGGGAGAAUAAGCUCCGGCUAACUCCGUGCCAGCAGCCGCGGUAAAGUG